CUCACCAUAAUGGACAUCUAGAACCUUGCAAAUGUAGAAGUUGUUGCUUACCCUGACAAUUAUUUGCUCUGCCUAUCCUAUAUAGACUACAAAAAUCUGGAUGGCCACCAGAUAGUAGAAGAUAGCAGAAAAUGGGAAGGAAAAAAACAGAUGGAUCACAGACAGAUUCAGUUGGAAAAAAGGGAAACUAUGGUCAACUCCCGUAUAUGUUUGCAGUCUACUUUGCUUGCUGCAACAGAAUCCUGAGAAAAUCAAGCCCUUCUUGAUUGGCAGAGCUUGCGUGGCCUAAAGUGGAACAAUUCUGCUCUUCUGUGAUCUAAAACCAUUACACCUAUUUUACUGAAGAAAACAGGAGGUUAUAAUUGAUGCAAUUAGAACAAAAAAGAUCAUAUAGAGAUUUUGGAAAGAUUCUUAACAAGGAAGAGAAUUUUACCCCAGAAAAAAACUCUAUCCUCUAUCAAUGUGUGUAGAUGUGUAUUUUGCAAAAAAGGAAAACAAUUUGGUGUGUUGUCACAACUGCGAUGCCCGGUAUAAUUAUGCAUUGAUAUAAUUAUGUAUAUUAUUACAAGGUACAAAUGUUAAAGGCACUAAAGUAUACCCUGGAAAAAUGAAAAGGAUUUUAGAAUGUAUGAACUAACUCUAUUUAUGUAACAGGUCCAUUUUGGAAAAAAAGUGAUCAGCAGAUUAUGUGAACAGCAUAUCUGCUUUUAAUUUAGACACUUUUAGACAUAGAAAAGAGAGAGAACUUUCAAAGCCAGAAUUUAUUCUUAUCCCUUACCAACACGGGAUACUUCUAGAUGAGCAGGUACCCUACCUUAAACACAAAAUUGUAUUAGCGAAUCUUGUGAUAUUGUCCAAACUAAUGGGUGGGAGACCUCAUUCUGUAGAGAUGGAAAAAUCAUAUUCCCUGGUAAUAAUUAAAAGCCAGCCUAGUUGUUUUACAUGGUUUAGACAUUCACUUAUAUCAGCAUGAAAGAACUUUUCUAUUGUAUCAUUCUUUCUUUGAAACACUCUCUGCUUUAGAAAUUGAGCACAUGCCAACUUUGCUAUGGUUGAAUAGCAAUUGCUGUGAAAUGAAAAUCUGUUUAUUUACCCCUAGCAUUUGAGAGCUCAUGAUGGCAUAGCUGAACUAGUUAACAGCCAUUGUUUUAUUAUUCUUGCAUUAUUUUGAUGUGCUUAAUCAUGGUUCUUAAGAUUUUCUUCAAUAACAGAAAAAUCAUUGCACAAAAGGUAACAAUAUUUAAAAUGCAUUUUUAAAAAACUGGUUGCCUGUUUUGACAGAACUUCCCUGAUUGUGGAUGGCACUCCUGUUACUAUAGUUUGUUAGGGCUACUCAGAGGUACAUUCUUCUGUUCAGGGAAGCAUAAUUCCCAAGUUAAGAUUAGGGGUGAAUGUGGGUUAAUUUUUUUUAUCUGUUCCUGCCCAUGUCCAUCUUGUUAUUCAUGUAGCAAAAUAAAAAGACGAUUUUCCUUGGGUGACAGCUAGGGUAAAUCUUUACUUGGGAAUAAUUUAGUAUCAGGCAGAAUUUAAUACUGGGAAGUUUUCUAAGGAAACAAAUUUGAGUAGCAUAAGAAAUGUUCCACUUUAAUAGGCUGGGGCCUAUUGCAUUUAUACUGAUGUUGUCCACAUAGAAAUAUAGUUUCCUUACAGAUAAAACUAAGUCACCAUUACAAAAUAUUUACACACAGUUGUCCCCAGCAUGAUAAUAGAAUCAUCAUUAUCAUAUCAUCAUCAUCAUGCAGCUUUACUGGGAACAGCUUAAAGUUGAGGUGAUAUCUGUAAUACCAUCAUAUAUCCAUAUCUGCCUAUCCCAGAUAGAAAAUAGGUAGAUAGAAAGAUAGGUAGAUAGAUUGAUAGAUAGGAGACGGAAUUGGUAUCUUCAUGAACAGAAUUACAACUAUUAAUUUCAGCAUUCCGAUUUGUUUUAACAAGUCAUGAUGUUUUAUUUGGGGGGAUUUUGUGGAAGAAUAGUCCCAGGUUUUUAAUUCCAAUUGCAGAAUUAAUAUUUUAAUUGCUUAUAAAAUUGCAAAAGAACAGAAGAAUCUCAGAUAGCCAACUGUAAUUAUUUACACCAAAGCACAUAUAGGAGGUAGGCCCUAAUUAUAAAAUGAAUUGUAAAAUCUACACCCUUUUUUAAUACAUGGAUUUGAUGCAGAGUACAUACCUUCUAUCUUAGCAAAGUAGUCUUUGCUUUCCAGAAUAUUCAAAUCAUUUGGAAACACACCUUUUUUAGUCUGCUUUCAUGCCUAUUUUGCUAUCAGAAAGUUUUCUCAACAGGAACUUAGAAGUACAGUUCUAUCUUGUUCAGCUAAUGAUUGAUGUUAGCUGGGAACUUCCACUGAAAAAUCCCCCACAUGAGACUUCCUUGUAUGUAGCCACAGAAAACUGAUCAUUAUAAUUUGUACUCUCACUAAAUCAGAAUUUAAAGUGAAAACAAAAUGUAAACUAGUUGUAGAACUUUAAUAUCCUGUCAAUAAUGCCGUGUACUACAGUAAAACUUCUGUUCUAUGGAUGUGAAUUGAAGGAUGAGAGUUUUUGAAUGAUUUUUAAUCAGCAGGGACUCAGGAGUACUUUGUAAGGCUUAUUUUGAGCAGAUGUAUAGAUUAUGAAAAAAUGAAAAAUAAUAACAAACAUUUUCUGAGGGAAGAUACACAGUUUCUUCAGAUUUGAGAGGAUACAUAUAGGUUGUGUGUAUAUUUAUUUAUAAAAGUUUUACACUGAAAAGGAGUUGCCAUUUUCACAUUUUGAAAAGUGCUGUUGCAAUCUCUGAAUCAUCUUUUUGUGGUGGGAUUUGAGCCACUGUGUGGCUGUAAAUCAGAUGGCAAAAUUGAAUGGUGCAUGUUCUGGAUAAUUGGAAGUUUCUGUACCAAAGUUUUGUAUGAACAUUUAAAUUGGUUAUAUGGUAGUAAAUGAAUAGUUACUAGUGCUUAGCUAAAAGCCUUUGCAAUUUUCCAGAAUAAAAGCGCUGAUAAUAUUGAGGUACAUCUUUUUGCAGAACAUUAGAAUGUAAAAUACAAAUCCAGUUACAAAUUUAAAAUAUCAGUUAUAAACAAUUAUAAACAGACAAUCCAGUAGAUUACCCUAAAGCAAAAUCUCAGACCAGUGAAUCAACAACUAUUUUAGCAAUAGCUUUUGUGUAAAUUGACCAGCUGCAAUUAAAACAAUGGAGCUAU